GUUUCUCUGAAGAAGAAGAAGAAGAGGGUUUUAGGGUUUUUGUUUAUCAGAAAAAAUGGAUAGGUACCAAAAAGUAGAGAAACCUAAGCCUGAAUUACCCAUUAACGAGAAUGAGAUCAGAAUUACUUCACAGGGACUUGUUAGAAACUACAUCAGCUAUGCUACUAGUCUGCUUCAGGAGAGGAGUGGGAAAGAGAUCAUUUUGAAAGC
rnacentral:misc_RNA from 1 species